CACAAGUAGCGGAGCAUGUGGUUUAAUUCGAAGCAACGCGAAGAACCUUACCUAAGCUUGACAUCCCAAUGACCUCUCCCUAAUCGGAGAUUUCCCUUCGGGGACAUUGGUGACAGGUGGUGCAUGGUUGUCGUCAGCUCGUGUCGUGAGAUGUUGGGUUAAGUCCCGCAACGAGCGCAACCCUUGCCUUUAGUUGCCAGCAUUAAGUUGGGCACUCUAGAGGGACUGCCAGGGAUAACUUGGAGGAAGGUGGGGAUGACGUCAAAUCAUCAUGCCCCUUAUGCUUAGGGCUACACACGUGCUACAAUGGGUGGUACAGAGGGCAGCCAAGUCGUGAGGCGGAGCUAAUCCCUUAAAGCCAUUCUCAGUUCGGAUUGUAGGCUGAAACUCGCCUACAUGAAGCUGGAGUUACUAGUAAUCGCAGAUCAGAAUGCUGCGGUGAAUGCGUUCCCGGGUCUU
rnacentral:rRNA from 1 species